rnacentral:tRNA from 1 species
GACUCUUGGAGUUGAGUUGGUUACAGCGUCCGACUGUUACUAUCCAAUAAAUCGGAAGGUCGUGAGUUCGAGCCUCACCGGGGCA